rnacentral:rRNA from 1 species
CGCGCAGGUGGGUGCGUAAGUCGGAGGUGAAAGCGCAGGGCUCAACCCUGCGACGCCCUUCGAGACUGCGUGUCUAGGGACCGGUAGAGGUGAGUGGAAUUCCCGGUGUAGCGGUGGAAUGCGUAGAUAUCGGGAAGAACACCGGAGGCGAAGGCGGCUCACUGGGCCGGAUCCGACACUGAGGCGCGAAAGCGUGGGGAGCAAACA